UACGUAGGGUGCAAACGUUAUCCGGAUUUAUUGGGCGUAAAGAGCUCGUAGGCGGUUGCGUAAGUUGGAUAUUAAAUACCCAGGCUCAACCUGGGAAAAGUAUCCAAGACUGCGCAGCUAGAGAUAUGCAGGGGAGAACGGAACUUACGGUGUAGCGGUAAUAUGCGUAGAUAUCGUAAGGAACGCCAAUGGUGAAGACAGUUCUCUGGGCAUUUUCUGACGCUGAGGAGCGAAAGCGUGGGUAGCGAUCGGG
rnacentral:rRNA from 1 species